GAUGAAGAACGUAGCGAAAUGCGAUACGUAAUGUGAAUUGCAGAAUUCAGUGAAUCAUCGAAUCUUUGAACGCACAUUGCGCCCGCUAGUAUUCUGGCGGGCAUGUCUGUCCGAGCGUCAUUUCAACCCAUCAAGCUUAGCGCUUGUGUUGGAGCCCUGCGGCCGCCGCAGCCUCCUAAAAUCAGUGGCGGGCUCGCUAUCACGCUGAGUGCAGUAGUAUUCUUCUCACUCCUGUGGUGUAGCGGGUAACCAGCCGUAAACCCCCCCAUCUAUAAAGGUUGACCUCGGAUCAGGUAGGAAUACCCGCUGAACUUAAGCAUAUCAAUAAGCGGAGGA
rnacentral:misc_RNA from 1 species